AGACAGACCCACCCUCUAUCUGGGUGGGCGCCAUCCAAUCAUUUGCCAGCAUGGCUAGAACAAAACAGGCAGAAGAAAGUGGGAGAGGGUGACUUGCUGAGUCUUCCAGCCCUCACCUUUCUCCCAUGCUGGGUGCUUCCUGCCCUCGAAUAUCAGACUGCAAGUUCUUCAGCUUUUGGACUCUUGGACUAACACCACUGGUUUGCCAGGGGCUCUCGAGCCUUCAGCCACGGCUGAAGGCUGCACUGUCAGCUUCCCUACUUUUGAGGUAUGGACUCAGACUGAUCCACUACCGGCUUCCUUGCUCCUCAACAUGCAGAUGGUCUAUCAUGGGACUUUACUUCGUGAUCAUAUGACAAUUUGCUACACCAACAAUAGAAAACUAACACAGACAUUAUUCUGUGAUAUGAUCACAAAAUUUUCUACAACUUGAGAGAAAUUGAACUGGAAAAUCAUAAGCUUCAUGGAAGAGUGGGAGUUUUCAUCAUUUAUAUUUAUAUGAAGAAUGUCUAGCAAGACCUUAAAUGAUGACAAAUGGCAACACUACUAAAAUUUUACCCAAUCAGAAGUUUCAUGCCCUAGAGCUCU
rnacentral:lncRNA from 1 species